AGUGUGGUUGUCUAUUUAUUCUUAGCUAGAUACUAUUUGCUUAUCAUUUCCUUCUUUCCUACUACUAUUGUACAUUUUAUAUCUCUUUCUUCACUAUGCUAUCGUACAUGAACUAGCUACUUAUGGAACUACUACUACUAUUGUACAAUUUUACAGAUCAUAGUAGGAGUUCUUGUUGUUGACGUGUGCAUCAUGCAGAGUAGCCAUGGAUCAGAGGUUUUGGACUAUGAAUCGGCUUAUCUAUUGGUGAUUUAUUAUUGGUGCUAUCAUGACUUGAGAAAUUGGAUCGUGACAAUUGAUUAUACAAAUACUAAUUGCCGGGACGAAACUCUUCCAAGUAUAUGGCUUUAGACUGGAAAAAUAUUCUAUCAACCGUGUUUCAUUCUAUUUUUUUAAUUAUUUUUUUUGUAAGUUACGCAUGCCA